GCAGGCAUAGUUUAACCCAAACAUUAGGCCGUGAUCCUAAAAAUAGAAGUUAGACCCUUCUUGCCUACC
rnacentral:tRNA from 1 species